rnacentral:rRNA from 1 species
UACGUAGGGUGCAAGCGUUGUCCGGAUUUAUUGGGCGUAAAGAGCGUGUAGGCGGUUAGGUAGGUCCGUUGUGAAAACUCGAGGCUCAACCUCGAGACGCCGAUGGAAACCAUCUGACUAGAGUCCGGAAGAGGAGAGUGGAAUUCCUGGUGUAGCGGUGAAAUGCGCAGAUAUCAGGAAGAACACCCGUGGCUAAGGCGGGUCUCUGGGCCGUAACUGACGCUGAGGAGCGAAAGCGUGGGAGCGAACAGG